rnacentral:misc_RNA from 1 species
AACGCACAUUGCGCCCUCUGGUAUUCCGGGGGGCAUGCCCGUUCGAGCGUCAUUUCACCAAUCAAGCCUGGCUUGGUAUUGGACCCGGGGGCGACCCGGGUCUCGAAAUCUUCGGCCGCAGAGCUCCGAAUCGCAGCGUCGUGCAUCAAAUUCGCUGACGAGACGGGCGAGGCGCGCCGUGAAACCUUCUCACAGGUUGACCUCGGAUCGGGUAGGGAUACCCGCUGAACUUAA